UACAGAGGGCGCGAGCGUUGUCCGGAAUCACUGGGCGUAAAGGGCGCGUAGGUGGCCACCAUAAGGCCGCGGUGAAAGUUCGGGGCUCAACCCCGGAUCGGCCGCGGCGACUGUGGGGCUCGGGUACUGUAGAGGCAGAUGGAAUUCCGGGUGUAGCGGUGGAAUGCGUAGAGAUCCGGAAGAACACCGGUGGCGAAGGCGGUUCUCUGGGCCUUACCUGACGCUGAGGCGCGAAAGCUAGGGGAGCAAACAGG
rnacentral:rRNA from 1 species